rnacentral:rRNA from 1 species
GACGAACGCUGGCGGCGUGCUUAACACAUGCAAGUCGAACGGUAAGGCCCUUCGGGGUACACGAGUGGCGAACGGGUGAGUAACACGUGGGUGAUCUGCCCUGCACUUCGGGAUAAGCCUGGGAAACUGGGUCUAAUACCGGAUAGGACCACUGCCUGCAUGGGUGGUGGUGGAAAGCUUUUGCGGUGUGGGAUGGGCCCGCGGCCUAUCAGCUUGUUGGUGGGGUGAUGGCCUACCUAGGCGACGACGGGUAGCCGGCCUGAGAGGGUGACCGGCCACACUGGGACUGAGAUACGGCCCAGACUCCUCCGGGAGGCAGCAGUGGGGAAUAUUGCACAAUGGGCGCAAGCCUGAUGCAGCGACGCCGCGUGAGGGAUGACGGCCUUCGGGUUGUAAACCUCUUUCAGCACCGACGAAGCGCAAGUGACGGUAGGUGCAGAAGAAGGACCGGCCAACUACGUGCCAGCAGCCGCGGUAA